rnacentral:rRNA from 1 species
UACAGAGGUCUCAAGCGUUGUUCGGAUUCAUUGGGCGUAAAGGGUGCGUAGGCGGGUUUUUAAGUCAGAGGUGAAAUCCUGGAGCUCAACUCCAGAACUGCCUUUGAUACUGAAAGCCUUGAGUAUGGGAGAGGUGAGUGGAACUGCGAGUGUAGAGGUGAAAUUCGUAGAUAUUCGCAGGAACACCAGUGGCGAAGGCGGCUCACUGGCCCGAUACUGACGCUGAGGCACGAAAGCGUGGGGAGCAAACAGG